GUGCCAGCCGCCGCGGUAAAACCAGCACCUCGAGUGGUCAGGAGGUUUAUUGGGCCUAAAGCAUCCGUAGCCGGUUGUUUAAGUUUUCGGUUAAAUCUAUGCGCUUAACGUAUAGGCUGCCGAAAAUACUGGACAGCUAGGGAGUGGGAGAGGUACACGGUACUCAAUAGGAAGGGGUAAAAUCCUUUGAUCUGUUGAUGACCACCUGUGGCGAAGGCGGUGUACCAGAACACGUUCGACGGUGAGGGAUGAAAGCUGGGGGAGCAAACCGGAUUAGAAACCCUUGUAGUCC
rnacentral:rRNA from 1 species